rnacentral:rRNA from 1 species
UACGGAGGAGGCAAGCGUUAUCCGGAAUUAUUGGGCGUAAAGCGUCCGCAGGUGGCACUUCAAGUCUGUCGUCAAAGACUGGGGCUUAACCCUGGAAAGGCGGUGGAAACUGAAGCGCUAGAGUGCGGUAGGGGUAGAGGGAAUUCCCGGUGUAGCGGUGAAAUGCGUAGAGAUCGGGAAGAACAUCGGUGGCGAAAGCGCUCUACUGGACCGCAACUGACACUCAGGGACGAAAGCGUGGGGAGCGAACAGG